rnacentral:rRNA from 1 species
UACGUAGGAUCCAAGCGUUAUCCGGAUUUAUUGGGCUUAAAGGGUGCGUAGGCGGCUUAUUAAGUCAGGGGUGAAAGACGGUGGCUCAACCAUCGCAGUGCCUUUGAUACUGAUGAGCUUGAAUACACUUGAGGUAGGCGGAAUGUGACAGGUAGCGGUGAAAUGCAUAGAUAUGUCACAGAACACCAAUUGCGAAGGCAGCUUACUAAGGUGCAAUUGACGCUGAGGCACGAAAGCGUGGGGAGCAAACAGG